UACGUAGGUGGCAAGCGUUGUCCGGAAUUAUUGGGCGUAAAGCGUGCGUAGGCGGUCUAUUAAGUCUGAUUUGAAAGCCCAUGGCUUAACCAUGGAGGGUGAUUGGAAACUGGUAGACUUGAGUACAGGAGAGGAAGGUGGAAUUCCACGUGUAGCGGUGAAAUGCGUAGAUAUGUGGAGGAACACCGGUGGCGAAGGCGGCCUUCUGGCCUGUGUCUGACGCUGAGGCACGAAAGCGUGGGUAGCAAACAGG
rnacentral:rRNA from 1 species